CCAAUAGCGUAUAUUAAAGUUGUUGCAGUUAAAAAGCUCGUAGUUGAACCUCGGGAUCAAUGGAUCGGUCAUGCCAUCGGUAUGUACUGGUCUCAUUGGUUCUCACCUUCUAAGGAACCAUGAUGUCAUUCAUUUGAUGUUGUGGGGAAUUAGGACUGUUACCUUGAAAAAAUUAGAGUGUUUAAAGCAGGCUAACGCUUGAAUACAUUAGCAUGGAAUAAUGAAAUAGGACAUCGCAUUCUAUUUUGUUGGUUUCUAGGAUCGAUGUAAUGAUUAAUAGGGAUAGUUGGGGGCAUUAGUAUUCAAUUGUCAGAGGUGAAAUUCUUGGAUUUAUUGAAGACUAACUACUGCGAAAGCAUUUGCCAAGGAUGUUUUCAUUAAUCAAGAACGAAAGUUAGGGGAUCGAAGACGAUCAGAUACCGUCGUAGUCUUAACCAUAAACUAUGCCGACUAGGGAUCGGAUGAUGUUGAUUUUUUAAUGACUCAUUCGGCACCUUACA
rnacentral:rRNA from 1 species